UUGGGAGCUCUCCCAUAUGGUCGACCUGCAGGCGGCCGCGAAUUCACUAGUGAUUAGAGUUUGAUCAUGGCUCAGAUUGAACGCUGGCGGCAGGCCUAACACAUGCAAGUCGAGCGGUAGAGAGAAGCUUGCUUCUCUUGAGAGCGGCGGACGGGUGAGUAAUGCCUAGGAAUCUGCCUGGUAGUGGGGGAUAACGUUCGGAAACGGACGCUAAUACCGCAUACGUCCUACGGGAGAAAGCAGGGGACCUUCGGGCCUUGCGCUAUCAGAUGAGCCUAGGUCGGAUUAGCUAGUUGGUGGGGUAAUGGCUCACCAAGGCGACGAUCCGUAACUGGUCUGAGAGGAUGAUCAGUCACACUGGAACUGAGACACGGUCCAGACUCCUACGGGAGGCAGCAGUGGGGAAUAUUGGACAAUGGGCGAAAGCCUGAUCCAGCCAUGCCGCGUGUGUGAAGAAGGUCUUCGGAUUGUAAAGAAUCGAAUUCCCGCGGCCGCCAUGGCGGCCGGGAGCAUGCGACGU
rnacentral:rRNA from 1 species